rnacentral:lncRNA from 1 species
AGCUGAAAGUGUAAAAUGUGAUAAAUAAAUAAAAGAAAAGAAAAGUUCAGUGCUUGUGGGUAUGGUGUGUGUGGCGAGAAAGAGAGGGAGAAGGAAAACCCUUCACCUUCAACUCAUCGCAAGAAAUUCAGCAAUUAAGUGUGUAUUAGAGCAAGAAUUGAAUGCAUGAGUCUAAUUCCUCUAUAAUCUAAGUGCAUUGAAUAUAAGGAUUGAAAGAAAGAGGAGCAAGUUCCGGAAAACAACAAAAGGCUCAAGAACGAGAUAAGUUUGUUUACUUCCUUGCUAUUAAUGUUUAGUAAAGCUCCUACUUAGAUGGCCACGCCUUGCUCGGAAUGAACAUUAUUCGCAACGCCUUCAACACGCUUCCGAACUAGUGUAUGUAAAUGGGUUAAAAUGUUUUGGUUAUGAUGUAGACUAUGUUUAGUUGUUUAAAAAGUUUCUCUAAAGACUUACUACUUGAUUCAUUAAAACUAUUAAACAUAUCAUAAUAAGUUUAUAAGACAUUAUUUUAAAGACUAUCAAUACAUCAAGUUUGACAUUGUGGGUUUACAUGACUAAAUCUAGUAGUUGAAAAUUGUUGCGGGUUCGGUUAAUGAUUUGAAAUUUGAAAUCGACCGAAUAAAUCUGGUAGUUUAUUAGAAAAAUAAAAUGGUUGAAAUAAUCCAACACUGGAAAUUG